rnacentral:rRNA from 1 species
AUCCAUGGCCAUGCCUCCCUGAAGCGAAGCAGGGUCAGGCCUGGUUAGUACUUGGAUGGGAGACCACCUAGGAAUACCAGGUGCCGUAGGUG